rnacentral:lncRNA from 10 species
UCCAUUAUACAACGGGAGGGGGAGGUUAGGCCACGGUCAGAUCCACUAUAAGGGACGAAGGGCUUGAGCAAUGCCACACGCAGGUCCACCAGCCGUGGUGGUGGCGGCGGGGAGUCGAACACCAGCAGGCCACCGGCCAAGCCACAUCCUCUGCGCGGGGGCGGGAAGGAUACGUGGGGUCACGGACUGGGCCCUCCACCCUCCAGGCCCAGAGCUCACCUGUGUGUAGCGUGGCGGUGGCGUUGGCAAUGUUGGCAGCUCCGGGGGGCGGGGGCUCCAUACGCGGCCCCACCGCCCCCCAGGCCUGGGUUCCGAGGCGGCGGUGGAGGUGGUGGUGGCGGUGGCGGCGGCAGCACCUAGAAGCCGCCCCUGCGUUUCCCUACAGCUCACGUGGGCCCGAGGAGGAGGAGCCCAAUGUCCCGCCGCUCGCUGAUUGGCCAAAGCGCUAUUAAUCGGCCGCAAGGCCUCGAGGGGUUGGGGGACGGGCCCUUCCCUACAGAGCUGUGCCGUGAUUGGCGUAAGGGGAAAUGAUGGAACGCUCACGGCCCCUGGAGUCCCGAGGAGGCGCGUUCGGCCUUCACGGUGCUCCACGCCGAUUGGCUCAAGGACUGACGGACUGUGAGCAACUGAAAAGGCUCGGGGCCUGUGUCGGGGGGGCGGGGGUCUGCCUCACACUGAUUGGCUUACAUGGGAUUGAUGGAAGACAGCCCCCAAGGACGGGGGUGGGUGGCCCUGUUUUUCUCUGAUUGGCGGACGAGGGACUUCUAGACCCCUGCCAAAACACCAAGGGGGCGGUGUCGCACGCCAUGCUGCUCAGCGGAAGCAGGGCUUGUAUAGAAAUGGGCGUAGCAGCCGGCGGGAGUGGGUCGGACUGGGCUCCGCGUAGGCGGGCAGGGCAGCUCUACGGUUAGACAAGACCAUAGAGCUGGGUAAAGACGAAUUUAGAACACAGCGGAGGUAGGAGGGCAGGAUGGCUGUCAGGCACACGAAAGAGCAUUGAGUGGCAGAAACGAAAUGCUUUCAGAGGGCAGGGUUGAACUGCGGCCAGAGUUAAAAAGGGGAGGAACCUGGCUCUGCAUUGAUUGGCGGUGGCUGGACUCAACCUAGAAUAGGGGCCCGACUAGGGAGAGCGGGAUCCAGGUCUGUGCCCAUUGGAAGCUGGAACACUUACAAGCAGGGGCUAAGACAAGGUAGGGCUGAGUUAGGGUUUGGGUGUAAUUUGGGGUACCUGGGGAAUGAUUGGGUGUGUGAAAGCGUAAACCUUAGGGCCCUUUGAUUGUUGUGGGAAUGAACAAACCUCCACCAUGAAUUGGCCCAUUCUCUAUGGCAAUUCAAAGGGUGGCGUCUAGGAAAAGGAAUGGAAGAAAGGGUGAGGUGGGGGGCCCAGGUUGCCAAGAUGACAGAAGAGAGGGCAGUGCAUAAGGUCAACUGGCAAAUACUGCCAGGCAACAGGCUGGAGGCAGGACUGCUGGGGCAUUUUGGAGGUUCCACAGAGAGACUGGAUCUCUGGGUCUCUCAGUAACUUUGUGCCCUAGGAACAGGCCCCCGUGGCAACUAGCAGGGUUUAUGGGGAAAAAGAAGGGCCAUGUGACUCAAAGGCAUUCAGGCUCUUUAAUGUCUGAGGAUGGGGGGAAGAAGUCAAUGGUGAGGCUUCUCUGGGAAAUUCUGCAGGCCUUGUAGUUCUCUAAGCCCCUGAAAAAGAGGACAGAAGAGAUUGAACAAAGACUGGGUCUGGGUUACGCCCCCAGGCUUGCUCUGACCUCCCUCCCUUGACUCCAGUUUAGAGGGAAAGAUGGUCCUUCCCUUCUUUCGCUCUCUUCCUUCUUCAGGUCACCACCCUAAACACAGAGUCUGGUAGUGGGGUGAGCUGCUCUCACCUCUAGCAACAUGUGGAUAUGGGCUUUGAUAUUCAUGGAGUCCUUGGUGAGGCUGUUGCUGAGCCUAGAGAAAAGAAACAAGAAAGGGCAAAAUGGGCCCCACAUGAUUAUGAUGACCCUUCCUUAUCACUUCAAGAUCUACUUAUAUCCUGGAUGAUUUCCACCUGGCUCAUUCCUAUGUGGAAAUGCCAAGCCACCAUCUGGUUUUCACUGAUUCAAAGAUUAUUAAAUGCCUACUGUAUGCCAGGCAAUUUUAGGCACUGGGAGAUAGCAGCAAACACAACAAACAAAACUCCCGGCCUGAUGGACUUCAAAUUCUUGUAAAGAAAGACAUAACAAAAAACCAAUGGAAUAAAAGCUAUGUGUCAGAUGGUUCUAACUACAAUAACAAAAAUUAAAAAUGAGAGACAAUAAGGAGUACAGGAGUGGGGGGCUGCAAUUUUAAAGAGGGCUCAGGGAUGGCUUCACGGAGAAGCAUUUGAGUAAAGACUUAAAGACAGUGAAUUUUGAGUAGUGUGGCUAUAUGGAGGAUGUGUUCCACACACAAGGGGCAGCAAACACAAAGGCACUGAGGUGGGAGUGUGCCUGGCAUGUUUGAGGUGCAGCAAAGAGGCCACUCUGGCUGGAGAAGAAUAAGUGAAGGGGGAAUGUAAGAGGUGAGGUCAGAGAGGUAAUGAGGGAGACAAACUGUGUGAAGCCUACAAGGCCAUGGUAAGGACCCUGGCUUUGACCUUAAGUGAGAUGGGAGCCAAGGGAAGGUUGCAGCAGAGGAAGGAGGUUGAAUUACAUGAACCAGUCAGUUGACUCCUUUUCUCUAAGCCAGUUUGGAUCAGAUCUCGCCCAAAAGAAUCCUAAUUGAUAUAAAGGGUCAAGGAAGGCCUUUCUCAAGAAUGAAGAAUGAGAAGGAAUCGAAGAAUGCCUAAUGGUUAAGCAGUAGGAAGGCCUUUUCCACAAAAAGGACAAGAGGCAACAAAGAGCUGUUUGAGAAGCAGUGAGGUCAGAGUGUUAGAAAUUGAGUGGGGAGGGAAAGUGGCCUAAGACAAGGUCCAAGAGAUAGGAAGAGGUUAGAUCACACAGGGUCUUAAUAUAAUAAGGAAUGUGGAUUUUAUUGUGCUGUCAAUGUAGGAGUCAGUUUGAGGGGUAAAUGAAACUAAAUACUGUUGGAAAAGCAGAGAGCAAUAAGAUAGGAUGUUAAAUUGGAAAAAAAAGUAGUAUGAACCCAUGUAUAUACCAAUAUCUCCCACAUUUUUAUUUCUAGCCCAGAACUCUCUCCUGAACUUGACUAGUUUUAAUGACAUCUUCUAAAAAUCCACUUCAGUGUUUAAUAAGUGCCUCAUACUUAACAGGUUCCAGACUAAAUUCCUGACCUUCCCCUCCAAAUCUACUCCUCCCCUAACUUCUCCAUCUCAGAUAAUGGCAACUCCAUCCCUCCAGUUGCUCAGCCAAAAACCUGGGCUCCUCUCUCUCACACUUCACAUCCAGUCAGCCAUUCUUCUUAAAAUCAUGACUGUUCCAUUGCAGGUAAUGCUUCUGAUCUCCAUGAUAUGCUUUCUCCAUAGCACUGUCAACAUCUGACAUACUACAUCAUUCAUUUGUUUAUUGUUUGUCUCCCCUGACUAGAAUGUCAGCUGUAUGAGGGCAGAUUUUGUUUUUUUUUGUUUCCUGCUCUAUCCCCAGGGACCAGAACAGUGUGUGGCACAGAGGAGGCACCCAACGUAUGUUGAAUGAAUAAGUGACUACUCCAUUAAAAGGAACCUGAGGUUGGCUGAGUGUAUGUUUAGGGACAGGAAAUAAAUGAAGUAUGGGUGUUGUUGCCAGAGAGCAAGAAUACUUUCAAGAAUAUUCUGGGGGUAAUGCUUAAAGAACAGAAGAAUGAACCUGAUCAGCUCCUAAGGGACAAUUUUAACAUCAAAAAAGAGAACAAAAUUAGUUAAUGGUGUAAGCUUACCUUAUGAAAACCUAUGAGUUCAACACUUUAAAAGGGAGAAAAAUACAGAGUUCACCAAAUGCUAGCUGUAACACAAAAGGGAUAUGUUUAUUACUGCUGAUUUAUUUUUAUUUGCUAUGUGAGAAGCAAAUUACUACUGAUUUAGUAUGUAAGGCAGUGUGAAUAGUCAUAUGGUUAUGCUUUUUUUUUUUUUUUUGAGAUGGAGUCUCACUGUGUCGCCCAGGCUGGAGUGCAGUGGCGUGAUCUCGGCUCACUGCAAC